AAUUAGAGAGUUGGGUGCAAGCCUUAGAUGUGGAUUGGAAUAAUCUGGUAAAUGAGAACCUUUCUCGGGUAUUCAUCUCACAACACGUGAUAUAGUUUAUUUUUCUUCUUUCUUCAUUCUUCUCCUUUUUAAUACAUUAUUCUUUCACAAGAACUACUCCAUAGAUAUUCCAUAUUUAUUUCCUUAAUGCUUGAAGUCUGACUUUACUAUGGUCUUUUCUAAUUUGAGUUCUAAAUUAUGCUCAUCACAUGCCCUUGCUAUUUUAUUGCACCAUGGAGAACCUGGUGUAGCCGUGGUUGCUAUUCAGCCUCUAAUUAGAGGAAAUUGGUUCAUUCCUAAUUCAGCCGUGGUCGUAGUUUAUUGCUUUCUUAACUUCAUUUUGUACCCUCUGCCUAGCAUCAU
rnacentral:lncRNA from 1 species